rnacentral:rRNA from 1 species
AUUGAACGCUGGCGGCAGGCCUAACACAUGCAAGUCGAGCGAGCGGCGGACGGGUGAGCAAUGUAUGGGGACUGCCCGACAGAGGGGGAUAACUACUGGAAACGGUGGCUAAUACCGCCUACUACUGGAUAACCCAUAUGGGAUAAGCUCGUAGUUGGGGUAAAGGCUCACCUAGGCGACGAUCUCGAGCUGGUCUGAGAGGAUGAUCAGCCACACUGGGACUGAGACACGGCCCAGACUCCUACGGAGGCAGCAGUGGGGAAUAUUGCGCAAUGGGCGCAAGCCUGAUUCAGCCACGCCGCGUGUGUGAAGAAGGCCUUAGGGUUGUAAAGUACUUUGAGCGGGGAGGCGUUACCCGCAGAGGAAGCACCGGCUAACUCCGUGCCAGCAGCCGCGGUAAUAC